rnacentral:rRNA from 1 species
UACGAAGGGAGCUAGCGUUGUUCGGAAUCACUGGGCGUAAAGCGCACGUAGGCGGAUGUGUCAGUCAGGGGUGAAAUCCCGGAGCUCAACUUCGGAACUGCCUUUGAUACAGCACGUCUUGAGUCCGAUAGAGGUGGGUGGAAUUCCUAGUGUAGAGGUGAAAUUCGUAGAUAUUAGGAAGAACACCAGUGGCGAAGGCGGCUCACUGGAUCGGUACUGACGCUGAGGUGCGAAAGCGUGGGGAGCAAACAGG